rnacentral:rRNA from 1 species
UACGGGGGGGGCAAGCGUUGUUCGGAAUUACUGGGCGUAAAGGGCUCGUAGGCGGCCAACUAAGUCAGACGUGAAAUCCCUCGGCUUAACCGGGGAACUGCGUCUGAUACUGGAUGGCUUGAAUCCGGGAGAGGGAUGCGGAAUUCCAGGUGUAGCGGUGAAAUGCGUAGAUAUCUGGAGGAACACCGGUGGCGAAGGCGGCAUCUGGACCG